rnacentral:rRNA from 1 species
UGAGGAAUAUUGGUCAAUGGACGCAAGUCUGAACCAGCCAAGUAGCGUGCAGGAUGACGGCCCUAUGGGUUGUAAACUGCUUUUAUACGGGGAUAAAGUUAGGGACGUGUCCCUAUUUGCAGGUACCGUAUGAAUAAGGACCGGCUAAUUCCGUGCCAGCAGCCGCGGUAAUACGGAAGGUCCGGGCGUUAUCCGGAUUUAUUGGGUUUAAAGGGAGCGUAGGCCGUAGAUUAAGUGUGUUGUGAAAUGUAGACGCUCAACGUCUGACUUGCAGCGCAUACUGGUUUACUUGAGUUUGCACAACGUUGGCGGAAUUCGUCGUGUAGCGGUGAAAUGCUUAGAUAUGACGAAGAACUCCGAUUGCGAAGGCAGCUUGCGGGAGCAAAACUGACGCUGAAGCUCGAAAGUGCGGGUAUCGAACAGG